GAGCAAGACUCCGUCUCAAAAAAAAAAAACAACAACAUACAAAAAUGCCUUUGGGAUUCAGCGUAAUCUGCAGGUUAUAAAAGCAACUGCAAGGAUGAUAGGAGCUUUUUUCACCACAGCCUAGGAUGCCUUUGAGAAAACCGACAAAUUUGAAAACAUGAUAAAGACUUCCCCCUGGAUUCAGCCCCUCUACUCUGCCAACAUUGCUCUCACCAGGGUACCCAGUGACCUCCAAGUUGCCCACUGUGGGAGCACUCCUGAGUCCUCAUCUUACUGGAACGCUCCUCACGACCAUCAGGGAAUCUUCUGCUGCCCAUGAAAGGAAGCCCAACUCGAAUUGCUGCAAGCAGAACUAGAUGGGGGUCUCGCCACGUUGCCCAAGCUGGUCUCGAACUCCUGGGCUCAGGUGAUCCACCUUGGCCUCUGAAAGUGCUGGGAUCACAGGUGAGAGCCAUCAGUGAUUGUUUAGGAUGCAGUUCCACAGAAAGUCAGUCAGAAAAUAGAAAUUCCACAUUCUUCAAUUGCACCCAGUUCUACAAAGAGCAGACAUGAAGCACCAUGGCGGUUGGCAAGAACAAGCACCUUACGAAAGGCAGCAAAAAGGGGGCCAAGAAGAAAGUGGUUGAUCCAUUUUCUAAGAAAGAUUGGUAUGAUGUGAAAGCACCUGCUAUGUUCAAUAUAAGAAAUAUUGGAAAGAUGCUCAUCACCAGGACCCAAGGAACCAAAAUUGCAUCUGAUGGUCUCAAGGGUCGUGUGUUUGAAGUGAGUCUUGCUGAUUUGCAGAAUGAUGAAGUUGCACUUAGAAAAUUCAA
rnacentral:lncRNA from 1 species